rnacentral:rRNA from 1 species
AUACGGAGGGUGCAAGCGUUACUCGGAAUCACUGGGCGUAAAGCGCGCGCAGGCGGCUAUUUAAGUUGGAUGUGAAAGCCUACGGCUCAACCGUAGAACUGCAUCCAAAACUAUUUAGCUAGAGUGUGGGAGAGGAAGAUGGAAUUAGUUGUGUAGGGGUAAAAUCCGUAGAGAUAACUAGGAAUACCAAAAGCGAAGGCAAUCUUCUGGAACACUACUGACGCUGAGGCGCGAAAGCGUGGGGAGCAAACGGGAGUAGAUACCCUAGUAGUCC